rnacentral:lncRNA from 1 species
GAUGGCGCCGGUUACCUCGUGUAGUCGUGUUAUAUCAAAGGGCAUUUUUGUUCACAAAUACCCGCUUAUUUUACGUUAUAGUGACUGGUUAGUUUUGGAAAUUAUAACUCAAUGGACGGGGAAAACGAUUCUGCAUUAAAGAGAAAAGGAUGUGCAGUUAUUGUGAUGUUAUUUGUUGUGAAAGACGGCCCGAAAUUUCGCUACUUCGCUGUACUGGUUUAUAAAACAUUUACAAGCAACAGAAAUUGAACUAUAUGACAAAGAAACCAAUGUGUACAAGCCAAUCAAGUUCUUCAGUUUAAAGGUCAGUUUAAUUUUUAAUAAUUUAUAGUUCAUUUAGUUAUAUAUUAAUACGAAGUACUGGAACAGUACGCCGAGUUUGAUUUGCUAUAUUUGUACUGACCACUGUAGUCGGAAUAUUUAAGAUAUAAAGGUAUGGAUAAACAGACCCCAACCCCUUCCCUAACCAAUAAAUGUGUAAUGAACUAUUUGAGAGUUAAAAAGGUCGGGGGGAUUUACAAAUAUUUUAAGAAACAUUUCUACGGGGCUGUUUAUCCAUAAGCAGGGCUGGCCCGCUAAGGCCACUACAAGUUAAUCUUUAGUUUCCGGUCCGCCGCCCGCAUCCUUUCCCCCUAAAGUAUUAUUUCAGGACUAUUUUGUUAUUUACAAUUAAUUUCUAGUUCUUGAAAAUGUUCCCGAAGGAUUUAACUUGGGGACCGUCAACAAAUAGAUUUCGUCCCGCAUUGCAGACUUAAUUGGGGGGGAGGGAGGGGGUAGAUUAGAAUCCGCGAUUACAAAAUAUUUGGGACGAAAACUGACUUUAGAAAUAUAAUACGAAGAUCAGAAGAAAUGUAGUACCUUUUAAAUAAUAUACUCACAAAAAGUUCGGAGGCAAAAAGCGGACACAGCUCAACAACAAUACUUCGUUUGACAUUUACAUUUCAAAGUACAUAACCUAUGCCCAAACCCAUUACGGUUAAUUCCGAUUUGAUAUGUGUUGCAUUUGUGGACAACAAAUCGGGUAUUUAUUUAAAUUUUAUGUUGCUUACAAACGGAAACUAGUUUUUAUUUAUUACAAGCUGAUUGUAAUGUUAAAAGUCAGCAUUACAUACACUGUAUUCUUGCCUAUGGUAGACCACUCACAGUCAUAUUUCGGAUAAUAUUUUGGACCAUAAUUUCGAUUCUCUUUGGUAGGGGUGCACCGGAACUCGGUUCCGGCCGGUUAGUUCCGGCCGGAACCCCGAUUUUUUAGAGUUCCGGUUCCGGCCGGAACUAGUAAAAACAGCAUGGCCGGAACCGGAACUCUGUCGUUUUCAGGGAGAUAGAAUAUCAAACGUUUUUGUGUCUAACAAAAGGUCACAGUAGGAAGAAAAUUGGACUACGCAAGGGAAAUGUACACUAUUAACACUUCAUUAUGACGUUUAACGUUUGUCAGUCUUUUUAUUCUUGAUGAUUUGAAGUGUCUGCUUGUCUGGCAGCGGACAAAGUAACAUAUGACUAUAUAUGGCUUAAUAAAUUAGUUCCGGUUCCGGCCGGAACUUAAAAAAACGGUUCCGGUGCAUCCCUACUCUUUGGGGUUUUUACUUGUCCGCAAUGAGGUGGGGGGGGGAGGGGGUUCAAACAAUCGCGGCCCAAGUCCGCGAUGCAGGACGAAAUCUAUUUGUCAACGGCCCCUUAUAGAACAAUAAAUAUUCAAUUUACACUAAAAACGACCUAGCAAAAUGUACUAUUGAAUGGUAAAAACCGCUGCCUUAUCGAUAUUAUGAGGUAAAAAAAAGAAAUGUUAAUAGAUCAUUUUGAUAUGUAAAAUCCUUUGUAAUCUGUCAUAUGUGUCGAUUUAUAAAUAAUAUAAAUGCAAUUUAUGUAAAAUUUCAUAACAUUUUGAUACAAUUAUCAUGAAAAGGGACAAAGACAAAAAAAAUGUGGGCAAAGCCACAAUUGUAAUUAUGUGCUAUAGUCCUAACCACCUGCCCGACUGCAUCAUAAACAAAGGUAAGGCCGGACCAGAAACUAAAGAUUAACUUGUAGUGGCCAAAACGAGAUAGUCCGGUAAGCGGGAUGAAUUUUGCUUGCAUUUAUGAGGAGAUUUUAUCCUGCUUGCUGGGCUAGAAAUCAUUUACAUUGCACUCAAUUGGCUUUCCCAGGGCAAAUUUCAAAAUCAAUUUUUGCUUCAAACUCACUAUUUUGUAAACAUUACAGCUAUUGAAGCACAGCUUAGAGACAGGAAGUUUUACCUCGCAGUUUGAUCAUUGAAAUGCACAAGUUACCAAGGGCAAAUUCAUGGGAAAUUUAGGCACUUUAGGUCAAUGGGUUGUUCCAGAAAAGAUCCAUAUCCCCCAUGCUGUCCGAAGGGGGAGUCUUAGGGUGUCCAAAGGGGGGCGGGGGGGGAGGAAAUGCGGAUAUAAGUUUGUUUGAAGGCAGAGACGGAUUUUCAUAUUUUCGUUUGGGGGGGUGGAUAAAUAUCUGGGGGGGUGCUGCUGCUUGCUUUGGCCGGGGCGUGGCGGCAACGCCGGGAAAGGCCAAGGGAAAAGUUUAACAAAAUUUGUUUUCUAGGCCUGCAUGGCGAGAUCUGAGACCAUAAUAUUGGUAAUUUUACAAAUUUAGUAGUAAGAAUAAUCAAAUAUGAAACUAUCAAAUCAAAAUAUAUAUAAUUUGCGGGGGUGCCAAAUGCCUUUGGGGGGGUGCAAAUAAUUUCUGGGGGUGCCCCCAGAAAAUCCGUGCCUGUUUGAAGGUUUUAGACAGUGAUAAAACUAUGUGAUCGGCGAUUAUAAUGAGCACGCAAUUUUUAUCGGCUAUAGCCCUUAAAGUAAUAAUUAUACGUCCACGUAACUUGUAAGCAAAAUAAGCCGCCCACUUUUGCAUGCAUGGCCACCAAAAACUAACUCGCUGUAACAGUGUAUCCUGCAUGUUGAGAAUGAGUUGAAAAUUUACACACUUUAUUUAUAUAAAAGUAAAGUUUUGCAGUUUUCGUAUGUAUAAGUUUGAAUUGUUCAAGUGUUAAAAAUAAUAAUUAUUAAACUGUUGCUUGAAUUAAGAGACUGCUAUGUGAACUGAACUCAAUAUUUAGAAUAUUUAGUUUUAGUAUAUAGUCAAUAAAGCUUCCUUGCGAGGUGUGUGCCUAGAAAAUAGAAAUGGCUGUCAUAUUAAGGGCGAGGUUAAGGAAUGCAGUAAUACUAAAAAUGCAUUAACAUGUAAGUAAACACAGCAACGCUUGUCAAUCAGUCUGCAAGUUACAUUGAAUUUCAGUCCGAAUUUUACUUGAUCGAAUUUCGAAGUGAAUUUCUGCAAAUUAUCCGACAAAAUCUGCCAUGUGUUUGUGUUCACAGGAAGCUGCCAAGUGUUCCACCACGCUAUUUGAAAACAGCGUAGAAAAGUCACAAUAAGCCAUCGCUUUCACACUACGCUGGAGCGAAAUCGUUUGAAAACUUUCACAUCACUUUUGCCGUAACAAUUUGAGCACGGUUUCUAAAUGGAGCGAGGUGAGUGCUUGAUAGCUUUGUGUGAACACAAACGUGUAAACUCGAAUGCUUUUCAGUUAAAUUUCUUGGCUCUAUUUUAAAUAUGAGUGCUAAUUUAAUUUGUAAACACUGUAGGGGGUAUGGAUCUUUUCUGGAAUAACCCAAUCACAUAAUUUCUGCGCCUUCUUCACUAUGAUUGGCUGAACGUGCCUAAAUUUCCAAUGAAAACAUUCGCAUUUCUGCUUCACAACAUUUGAAUUUGCCCUGGGUAACUUGUGCAUUUCAACAAUCAAACUGUGCGGCAAAACUUCCUGUUUAUGUAAUGUCAAGAACUAUAAAAAUAAUCGCAGAAAAGACUUAAAACUAUUGAAAAUGUUUCAUCCCGGCAACCGGGCCGUUAUAUGGGGAAAUUUUCAUUUGCAAGUGUUUAUAUGGGGGAAAUUUUCACCCCGGUUGUCCAUAUAAAUGCACAGGAAUUUUUAAAUUCUACUACACUGUGAGAUCUCACUAAUUGGGCUGUCUUGCCAAGCGGACCAGCAUGGCUCCAAUAUAAACAGCCCCUAAGUCAAACAGAAAACCGAUGGCUAAAACAAAACCUGACCCCCACCCUCGUUUCACUUUGCAUGCACACAACACCUUUGCCAAAUACGCUACCAGGCUGAAAGCUGUUGCAAAAAACUGUUUUAUAUUACUACUUUACAAAAUGUAAUAAUUGGAUGCUAUACUUCAGUGCGAUUAUUAGUUCAAUAUUGAUAAUUAUUUAUAAGCACUAUUAUACAAGAAAUGUCAAGAAUGAAUUUUCCUUCAAUGGUUGCUUUUUAUCGGUCAAAAGUUUAAUAUAGUUUUGAUGAGAGAAAUGUUUCUCAACAAUUUUCAGAAAUAAGUUCUUUGAAUAUUUGCAUGGCGAUAAAAUAUAAUUGUUUUUGUUUGUGGAAACACCACGUAAAUUUAUUACUACAAAGCUUUCGAUCCGUGAGCCCGGAUCUUCAUAGUCCUAAUAAUAUGUGACUUGUUUAAUUCACACGCUCUUUUUAUAUACAAGAGUGUUGUGAUCUGUUGGCUCGCGUCAUUUGAAAUUUAAUUAAACGGCACAUCAACAACGUCAUUUCAAACGUAGUGAAGUGAGUCCAAGCACUGAUGAAGAUCCGGGCUUACUGAUCGAAAGCUUUGCAGUAAUAAAUUUACGUGGUGUUUCCACAAACAAAAACAAUUUUCAGAAAGUUUUACAAGAUUUUGGGGCUUGUUUUGAAUUGGGCUAUUCCUUUUAAAAGAUGUAACCCCCCUAUCGAGGACAAUGGUUUUACCAUAUUCCUGAAGAAUUCCUGACAUAAAAGAGAUCCCCUGAAGAAUUCCUGUUCAGUAAAUAGCAUUUAUCCCUGAAGAAAUCAACAUUUACCCCUGAAGAAUUACAAUUUUUACAUCUGACCCCUAUGGAAAUUGCAUUCGAAAUAACCAACCCCUGCAGAAUUCAACAGGAGAAUUUGUUUACCCAUGAGGUUAGGUAAAAAGGGAGGUUAUUGGUAUUAAAUGGAAUAGCCCAAUUUUCUGGAGAAUUUCCUGGUUGUUUUCCCUGCAGCUUGUUUAUAAACAUGAUGAUAAUUUUCCAGAAUUCUUGUCUGGUUCAAUAGAAAUUUUAUUUCCCAAAGUUUCAAAAUAAACAGAAGUGCAGAUAAUUUAUUUAUUGAAUGUUCUCUGACUAAAUAUUUAUUUCUACGAGCUUUCGGCUAUCAGUCUAUAGCCUUUGACAGGUGUAUACAAAUGAUUCUAUAAAGGUCUGUUGGCUGACAUAUUAUUAACACUGAUGAACAUCCUGGGCUUGCGGAUCAAAAGCUUUGCAGUAAUAAAUUUAUGUGGUGUUUCCACAAACAAAACUAUUAUAUGUUUUAUCGCCAUGCAAACAUACAAAGAACUUGUUGUGGGACAUCUUUUUUACUGAAGUUAUACAUCUGUCUUCACUUAAUCUGUGGCUCAGCUGGCUAGAUCUUGAUUUGCCUGUGGUCCCCCUUUGCAUUUGACCCAGAUGUUUCAGUCAUUUUAUAUUUGCCAAUAUAAAUCUUAUUGGCAUAGAAAUUAUACAUUUGGAAUUAUAAUAAUUUUGUAUGCUGCAUUCAAUCUAUUCUCCAUUCUGGGAGAUUCUUUGUAAAUACCCACACCAAUCAGAAGUAUGUAUUUUUAUGCUAAAACAGAAAUUGGCAUCCCAGAGAGUAAAUUAUAUUCCAGUUUAGGGCGUGUUGCAGCUCUAUAUCUUGCCGUUGCAAGUUGCUUUGUGUUUGAUGUUUGUUCUGGGAUAAAAUAUUGAAUUAUACCUUAAAUUAAUGAUUUGUGAAAUUUAGUUUAAAUUAGUAGAGAUAAAUGCAUAAAGCAUAGGGUAUUUUGAAGCUAAAUUUGUUUUAAAAUUCAUCAUUUUAGUGAAAUGGUGUGGAACACAAUGUGUUCUUUUCUGCUCGUCCUGGUUGCUGCAAGGAGACAUCGGGCAUUGUAAUGAAUGGAUGACAAUGUGUUGCUGGCAAACCUACACCAUCUGCAUUGGUGGAUAUCUUGGGCAAAUGUGCAAUAUGAUGAGGGAUAUCUUGGGCAAAUAUCUUGUAUAAAUUGGCAUGAUUACUUACCUUAAAUUACUAAAGAAGGAUGAUGUUAUAAGGUUAGUGGAUAUUUAUAAUAGUGAUAAAAUGGGGGUUCCCUGUGAAUAGAAACGAAGUAAGGCUUCCCAAUUAAGUGGAAACAAUAUUGCAGAGUGUAACAAUCUAAAAAUAUGGCUGACUGAAAUCUGUAAAAAUGAUGCAUGUUUAAAACAUGCAAAAAUUGAAAAAUUGCG